AAGUGAUGACAUUUUGGACAGACAUGGAUGUAAACUACAACUUGACUGGUUGGCGGAGGCAUACAACCUUUGAGGCGAUAAUUCUAGUUUUUUUUGGUGU